UAGACAGGGAUACAUGGAGCAUUUGUUGCCCCCAAGAACAUUCCCACCAAGGCACAUUCAAUUUCCCCCAUCAGUUACCAGCCUCCACCUGCACCCUCACCUGGCUCUCAAAGCUGAGCCCAGCGGCUAAUCUCUGGUCAUCCGUAACUGAGCUAUUCACAUGCUUGUUGGACUAACCUCAAAUCACAUCAGUUCUUUCUUUUUUCCCCCCCAACACCGCAUGCAGCUUCUCCUUUAGAAGAACCUCUUCUUGUACCCACCAGAAACAAAGCCCCACAACUGUGUUAGAUGGUGAAAUUUGUACCUGGUUCAGUCCACGAGACCCAGACAGCUACAAGCAUCCUGAGCAGAGCCCAGACGGAGCCAUCCAAAAAAGCAACAGCCAGCAGUUAGCUGGCUCUGAAUGCAUCAGAGUGGAAGGGCCAUUAGACCUAGCCCUGUCAGGUGAUACAACAAAGUGUUUCCACCUGGGAAGCAAUCAGUCCAAUUUCUAAUGGGAUCUAAGGCCAGAAAGGCUUCUGGAGGUGAUAGGGGCUAAAGGCACUACAAGAGCUAUAAAGAGAACCUGCAGCCUUCCUGGGCCAGUCACUGGCUGUGAUUCCUUGUAAAUCAAAUGUAUAAAAGUCUGGUGAUCGGGCUCGGGGCCUGCAUACAAUACAGAGCAAUUACAACCAGGGCACAAAUCCAGAGCCGCCUACUCUGAAAGGAGACGCUAUAAAAGUAACUUCAUAAGGCACGAUGUUGAUUGUGUCUCAGUGACGCCUUAUCAAAAAUGCUCAGUGUGGAAGCAAACAGAGAUUUGUUUCUAGCUGCCAGCCCUGUAAACUGGGCUCCUGGGGCCCCAUUCCUGAGAGAGCUCAAGGGGGCAGAUUUUCAGGCAUGCUCCCUUCCCAGUGUGGCACUUCUGGCCAGCUUUUCAGAAGUGCUCAGCAGCCAACCAGCUGGGCUCGCUUGAGGUGAAGCUGGAUUCGUUCUUCUUCACCCAUCAACACCAGUAACAAAGGUUCUGCAGGCCAAAUGGUGGCCACAGUGACCCUGGAGCAAGCCCAUUGCCUUCCCAUUAUCCCUGUAUUGAACCUGUGCAAUCCCCAGGCUGCCAGUGGGGUUGCACAGGUGGAACUCAUUGGAAUUUAGUAACCAGCUCUGCUGCUGGUGCAAAAGGCAGUUCCAGUGCAAUUGUGUCGAGAGGCGGCAGAUCCCAGACCCACGGGGAGCAGAUCUCUCUGGGAAGAAGGGGCUGGUUUUACAGAGCUAAUCUCCAGCCUGGAACCAUGUGCUCUGCCACACACAGGCACCAAGGGGAAUCUCCGCGCGGCGAACAAUGGCAGGAGUACUGGGCCAGCACUGAGCGCGCACACACCCCCGCCCACAGUGAUCUAUAUGUGAUGGUCCAUACCAGCGGCACCAAAUGGGGCCUACCGUGUGAUUUCAUGACCUGGAUGCUCCUGGGGGCUGAUGUUCCCCCUGCUCCCAAUGUGACCUCACAGGCCAGACUUUCCCAAGUGCCCGUGUACCCAACGGGCUGAACUCUUCUGAAAAUCCAGCCCUAUUGAACAAAUCUGUGACUAUGAUCUGGGCAAACACAGAGCCACAGCGUGGAUCACGGAGGUUACAGAUCAAGGACAGCAAGUGGGAACAGGCUGACGCAACGUUCCCAACUCAGUCAGACAGUAUCGUCAACGUCAGCUCAGUGAAGGGGGGUUUCCGCUGGCCUCAGGCUAGCAGCUGUGAGAUACACAAAUAGCUCCCAAUGUCCUGAGGGCAGCGGGGCUGAAACUGAAAAGCAAAUUCUGUGCACUAAGAAUAGCUCCAGCCGGGAGACAAGGACCACAGGACUCAACAGUCAACGGAAAGAGAUGCACCAGGGAAAGAGAAAGAACAGGUGCAGGACAGUCAAGAACAACGAGGCAGGGUGGGGCCUCAGAAGGCCACUAGGUCCAGCUCAUCUCUGGCUCAGAGCAGGUGGCAAGCUGUGGCUCUGGGCUAUUUUGGGAGGGUCAGCUCAAGGUCCGUUGCUUUUGUUCUGCUGACAUGACCCCGCAGCUGUUAACACGUGUAUCAAGCAGCCCCUGGUCUGUCACCUUCAGGGGUUGAUCGCUUUUUUCAUGUAAGCAACGGUUAUUUUCUGAGGGUGACAUGCACCCUGUCCAGAAGGCCUUUCAUAAAGCCUGGGCACCCCACGGGCUUAAGCAGGGCUCAAGAGGUGCCCAGGGCUGGUGGGGCCAUUUGCACAGAGGUGAAUUUCAUCAGGUCUGAUGAAGCCACACAAAGAGGUCAGGCAGACUGAGGUGCAGGGAGCCAGGAACACGCACUGGUGGCUCAGAGCACAGACUGCUAGGCAGGCAAGGAGGCUUCACCUUCUGCCAAUGGCAUUAUUCCCAUCCACUUCUCCCCGUUGCAGGUACCUGCAGGCUUCUGUAUGGAGAUACAGCGUGUCCCUGCUUGGCGGGGGGGUCUAUUCUGCGCCAGCAUGACCAGGCCUGCAGUACAGCUGCGGCACUGUGAGGCAGCGUUGACCCUUAGGCCUGGUCUAUACUUCCAAGUUUUGCUGGCACAGCCACGUGGGUUCGAAGGGUGGAGAAAACCACCUCCAUGACCGACAGCGCUGGGCCAGCACAAGCCCUAGUGCAGAUGCAGUUACACCGGCAAACAAGCCCUUUUGCCGGCAUAGCUUAUUUCGUGUGGGGAACUGGUAUAAGCUCUCCCAGCAAACGAGCUCUUUUGCCAGUAUAAGCUGCAUCUCCAGGAGGAGGGUUUGUUGCUCUAGCUAGAGCGGCCAACCUCUCCAUCGCAGACAAGGCCUGAGACAUUUCCAUCUCCUGCGGAACCCCCCGCCCAGAGGAACCAGUGGACAUUCUAGGGACGUGGGGAGAAGACGGGGCAGUCGUACCUCUCCCCCACUGUCAGAACUGCAUCAGGGAACGGCCAGGAGUCAAAGUCCCCUUUAAUUCUUCUCCUCCUUGUUCCCACGGUGCAGGCAGGCAGAGUGAGUCUUCUGAUCACUUCAUAGCAAUGUCAAGUUCAUUAACAUACACUUGUCCCCUAUGGCAGUCACCGUUAAUACUAGGCUGGCCAGUAUGCUCCCUUGAAAGGGAUGCGGGAAAUGCCUGGAAAGCAAACACACUCUUUCACCCUGAUAGAACAGUAAGGGCCCAAUUCACCCCUACUGUUACCUCUUACAGCAGGGACAGAUUUGGUCCAAAGGGCUACAUUUGCAAAGGGGCCUCCAGAAAGAUGCUGCUCACAUGGGCCAGAAUCAGCAUUUGUGCUCAAACAAGGGCUUCUGUGCAGUUUUCACCCCCAGGCUGGAUGAGCAUAGCCCAGUCUAGACCACACUGCCAUACACCACUCAGGAGCUGGUACGGAAUGUGGCAACCAGCUUGCAGGGCAGGGUCAGCCAGAGGAACGUAUCAUGGAGGGUGGGAUAGCUCAGUGGUUUGAGCAUUGCCCUGGUAAACCUAGGGCUGUGAGUUCAAUCCUUGAGAGGGCCAUUUAGGGAUCUGGGACAAAAAUUGGGGAUUGGCCCUGCUUUGAGCAGGGGGUUGGACUAGAUGACCUCCUGAGGUCCCUUCCAACCCUGAGAUUCUAUGAUUCUAUGCCACUGGCUCCAUAUUUGCUUCCAAGUCCUGACUAUCCAAGAGACCUUCUCUCCCCAAGCUCCUCCACGACAGCUAAAGAGCUCAAACUAAGUGCCCCUAUAUUUAAAGGGCUUCCCGCAGAGCAUUCUCAGCACCCUCAGCUCCAGAACAUGCUUCUCCCAUUGGCUCAACAGCAUCCAAACCUGGUAACCAUCCAUGCACUGCCAAUCUGCUAAUACAGAGCUUGGUCUCUCGGGGUGAAGUUUUGUUUAAGUGGGGGUAGGGAGGGGAGUUAGUCCUUCAGUUAUGUUAACUGGAGUCAACAAAUUCCAAUCAUAUUAGUUCUUACUGGUUGUCCACACACCUGAGCUAUUAUGAAAGGCGAAAAGUGAAUGGUUCUAUUAAACGGGGGAAUAAAUGAAUAAAAUCAAUGAAACGCCCCCUCUGUUGUCAGCUCUUGGGAACAGGGACUGUCUUUUUGUUCUGUGUUUGUACAGCGCCUAGCACCAUGGGGUCCUGGGCCGUGCCUAGCGCUCCAAGGCACUACUGCAGGACAAGUAAUAAACACAUGUAUACAGUGCUCGCUGACUCGAGCGCAUGUAGGGUUUGCAUUUGGCAAAGGUAGGCACUUGCAAAGUGCGUGGCUCAUUUCUGGAGGCCCCUUGGAAAGCCUAGUCAGCAAGUAUAGUGUCGCUCAGGAAUUCAUCAAGAUAGUUCUGAUUCCACCACACUGGUUCACCCUUUGAGCUGUCCCUUGUCCCAGGAUUGGUCCCACUGAUUUCAGCAGGACAGCUUGCAAGGUGAGGUACUUCACAAGAGGAAGGAUGGCAGGAAAUAGCCUGAUAUAAGUAUGUGUUUGUUUCUCGGGUACCAAGUGGCCAACAAUAUUCUGGAAAACAUCCUCUCGGCACCCACUCUGGAAUGAUCUCAGUGCAGAUUGGACAACCCCAUUGCAAUACAUGCCACUGUAAUGUUACCCUGGGAAAACCAGGAGGGACGCCUUCUUCGGUUGUUUCCUUAGCUCUGUCGGACCUUGGUUUUGUAUCAGGAUCUACUAACCCAGACCCUUGCAGGGGCCCCACUGAGACCCCACUCAGGAGUCAGCGCUAGCUGGUCCUCAUGUAAAAUCAAUGCCGUAUCACCUGUGCUGUUCCAUUAUUUAAUUACUCACAAAGUAAGUCAGUGUGAGCUGGUUGUGAAAUUAAUCCAGACAUCACAUCUGCGUAUGCCGUGUUUGCCCUUCCAGUGAACCUGUUUUCUCUUGCUUCGAUUGAAGAGAGCAACAUUAAAAUGCAAACGGGACUUUUCUCUUACCUUUGAGAACAAGUUCCAUUUAUUGGACUAAAUCCUCCUCUUCUUAUUCAGACCAAACUCCCACAGCUAUCAAUGAGUGUUGUCUAUCCGGAUUGGGCCUAUCAAAUACAGGAAGAGAGAGGAUUUUACGUUUUAAUGCUGUCCCCCAGGGUUUUUCCAGGGCAGUGUGUAUGAUAGACGUUACCUUUCAUUUAUAUCCUAUUUUUUAAAUCACAAAGACAAAACAAAGGCUGGUGAAAAAGGAUAUAACACACAAGUCAGGGGACUGAAAUAUAGUCUAUACAUUGAUGUUAGCACCCAUUAAAAUGCUUUCAAGGACAAACAGGACAAUAUUUCCCUGAUUAAGAUCUGUACUGCCAUAGUAAAAAACAGCCCCGCCCCACCUGGCCAUCUCUAUGCAGCUGCACGGCUGUAGGGGCGCCCCCAUGCUAAACUUAACCUCCUCUGGCCUAAAUGACCAAUCAGAAACUAGAACACGCCAGCAAAAAACUCCCAAAAAAGGAAGUGAAACCAUCUCCACUGGCUAUUGACAUGUGAAAGAGAGAGAGACAAAUACACAAACAAGUCACCAUGCAGCCCAGCCACAAGUACACAUCUCUGUCAUUAGUGAUUUGUCCAGAAUUCACAGUCUGCAAUUUGCUGAAUUAAAAAAAAAUAAAAAUGGAUGCUUGACCUAAAAGAUACAACGUGUCUGAAAGAGCCCUGGAAGAGCAUCCUUUAUGGCCCCUUCGCACUGUCAGGAGGGGGCAAGCGACAGAUCUGGUAUAUGUGUUUAACCCAUGGAGGUGUGCGCCCAAGAGCUAACAUGCCAUCUGAGGCCUACUUGCCUAGGGUUUCAAGAGACAUAUAACAGGAGUUAGUUGGCUACAUCAAUGAACAAGCUGGGCCAGAUCCUUAGCUGGUAGAAAUGCGUGCAACUCCGUUAACUUCAAUGCAGCUACGCCCAUUUCACCAGCUGAACUCAGGCCUGUUGCUUGAAUAUGGGGAUACUCACGUUCAGAAAUGUGUCCCGAGGGUGAAAUCCACCCUGCUGCUAGAGCCCCAGGAGUCAGGCUCCGGGUGGGUGCAGCGCAGAGGUGGAAGGCCCAUGGGCUGGGAGCCCAGCUGCUCCCCAGUUGCAUGGGGUUUUGGAGGCACUUGACCUUUGCAACUAUCAAACUGAGAUAAUCUGACUCAUUCCUCUUUAUUUGUUUUACAAGAAAAUACACUGUUGUGUUCCAGGGGAGACUGCAGUAAUCACACCACUGAGUUAUCUGAGCAAGUAAGUGCACCGUUAUGCCAGAGGAACACAGGGUUAUUGGUAAUCAGACAGUCAACAUAAUAUGCCAGGUGCUCUGUUUUUACCGUGAUGAGGACCGUGUAGGUACCUAGCUAGCAUGAAGGGAAACAGCAGCUACCCUGUUCUGUUAAGGCCUCAAGUAGAUAUACUGCUGGAGAACACAUUUUAGUUAGAUACCUAUGUGGCCCCCUUGCUGAAGUAUCUGAGCGCCACAGACAUGUGAGUGAGUUUAUCCUCACAGCACCCCAUGGUGUGGGGAAGUGCUAUUAUCCCCACUGUACACAUAGGGAAACUAAGGCACAGACAGGGGUUCAGGGACUUGUCCUCGGUCACACAGGGAGUCUGUGGCAGAGGGAAGACUUAGACUCACAGCAUCCGAGUCCCACGCCAGUGUCUUGAUCACUGGACCGUCCUGCCCAUGACACGUCGUUGUGUCAUGGGACCCAGGACAACGUGCUCUUGCAUUGUGGCCGUGCGCUGGUUUUGAGCACACAUGUCUCUUCUGCUGACUAAUGUACAGACACAGUCCUUCCUCCCCCGUCUGGGAGCAGAGGCAACUCCACGGGCCUGGGGGGGAAAGUAUGCUCUGGUGGCUGGGAACUGUGGAUAUGGAGGUUUCUAGAUUUCAAACCCUUUCCUGAAGGGGCAGGAAGCCUGUCCCAUGUCAGUCAGUGACCAGUCCUGGGGGAAACAGGGUUAGAACAGGCGCACGCCAAGGUGGCUGAGUCACUAAGGUGGGAGAGUCCAUUCCCGGGCAAACACCCCUGGGGGAAGUCACUUGGGAAGCAUUUCCCUUCAUCUUUCUUCCAGCGCUGCCAGAUCUAUGGCAAAUGGUUCAGCUGGACUUUCCCCUGGCACGUGGACAUUAUGGAACAUUUUCAAAGCCUGCCUUAGGGCCUUCACUCACUUGCCCUUUCGCGCCGAUCCAUUUCUGUGAAGAAGAAGAAGAAGUGGAAUCGGAUCAAACAUAAUGAGCCCAAUCCUCAGCUGGCACAAACUCACGCAGCGUCACUGGCUUCAGUGGAGUUAGGCCGAUUUACCCCUGCUGAGGGUCUGGCCCCAGAGCCCCCUGGGUAAUUUGUUCUUCAGAGUCAGGGGAGCUGCACCCAAGCCGGACGGACCCGCGCUCAGCGUUUCCUGUCAAGCAGUGACACGCGGGGUUCCGGUUAGAGCAGCCGCUCCCCUAAGAGAUUUAUUACUAAUCACCCAGAUUCGUUAUUUUGCUGCCUGAGGGGGAAGAGCAGUGUAAUGGGUUCCAGCCUUGGAGCCAAACUUUAUUAACUGACCGGAGGACCAGAUCCCGCUAGGUGCUGCUGUAUGCCUCCCGCAAGCAGCUGCUGGCCCUCGGUUCCCAUUGCUGGGCAGCCGCUCACAGGGGAGAUCAGCUCAGCACCGGGCAUGACUGGACCCUUUGGGGGGGAUUUGCCACAGCCCAAGCCAGCAUUUGCUCAUGCUAAGAAACCCUGGCUGCGUCGGGGAAGGGGUAUAAGCAGUCUGCCAGAUUUAAUAAUUUUAUUAAGAUGAUGUUGAAGUAAAAAGGAAACGGUACAGAGUUUAAGAAGUUUCUGGUUAUCAGGGAAUAAGGUACAGAUUAUCAAGGGGUGCGAAAUUCAGUUUAGGAAUGGAUGGCGUAAGGAAUACAUAAUCUGCAAUAUCCCCGAUUGGGGGUAAAAGGUUCACGGGUCAAAGUACAGACAUUGAGAUAUGGGGGUAUGUUGUUCAUAUAAUGGCUAUGUUCAGGUGUGGAGUAUAAUGAGUGGAUACGAUGAUGGGGAUGGAUUUACCCCCUCAUUUGGUGGGAUUUAAUGUUCAGUGAAUUUAUGGUUCCAGUUCAUAUGGUCCAAUGGAAAAAGUCUCUCAGUCCCUUUCCCAUAGUUGAUGCACGAUGUCGUACCGGCUCACAUCUCCUGGUACUGUCGGUGGCCGGUGAUGUGUUAAACUCUGAAUUGAACUCUGUUUUUGCUAGAGCUCAGGGCACUAGCUGGGGCAACCCCUCCCCUCUCACAAACCCAAAACUUGGUUCUGUACCUGAAUUGCCAGCAAAGAGAUUUUAACAAGAGUAGGGCCUGCUCCAGAGUCUCCCCCUUGACUUCAGUGGGCUUUGGAUUAGGGCCUUGUUCAUAAAUGUUCUUUGACCAGUGUGAGCCAGCUCCUAUAGCCUGUCUGAGCUGCACCCCAGAUCCUGGGGCUAGCCAGGGGCCUUUUUAUCCCACAGCAUCGGGUAGAGCAGCCCCAGACUCUCCGCCCUAAGGAGAUGACAGGCCAAGAACCACUGCAGACAAUUAAAAGAUUCCCAUUUUGGAUGGGCCCCAACAAAGCAUUUCAGCCUCCUGGAGCUUUUACAAACACUACGUUCACUUACAGUAAAAUCCCCUGGAAAUCUUUAAUGAGACUCCUCAGAGCAGCUCAGUGAGCUCCUAGCUCCAGGAAAGAUUUCCCAUGAGUGCAAUGGCAAUGUCCUGGGAACACGGAACUCAGCAUGGUCCCCUUUUGUCGAUCCAUGCAGUUAAUAUGUACCCCGAAAUACAUAGCACUUAGCCUGAUCAGAAUAGCUGUGCUGUGAGGAACCAGCCUUGCAGGGGUUACUCAGGCAAACCCCAGCAGAGGCCAAGCUGGUGCAUAUUGUACAGACAGGACUGGAUUUUUUGUGACGUGAAUCCUGAACAGUACGGAGCAAUGUUUUGGUUCUCCAUCACUUUGAUUGGGUCGGCGGGCAUCCUAAUUAUAUGUGCAAACGGUAGUUAGAACCUUAACCCAUUCGUAUUUUCCUGUGAUACAAUACGCCACACUGUUAUGUUAACCCCCUUCGAACACGGGAGCUAGCUGUACUAACAUCUACUGAUCACGGCUUUAUUUUUGCUUACAUCAGACAUUUACAGACAGGUACAACAUGGAGAAAUAAUAAAAAGAGCUUUUCUUUUUACUUGCUGGAGCAGUUAUUGGUUCUGAUCGCUGAGAUCUGCCUCGUCCACUCAAACACUGUUUUUGGAGGGAUAAAUCCACUAGGUGCUGAGGGAAAAAUUUGACACAGGACUAGCACAAGGCCUAUGCACUUCUUGAAUACCGCACCUCAGCCAAGCAGUUACGUGCUUCCAGUUAAGAUUUGUGAAUCAGGGCUUAAGCCUUCAAAACAGGGUUUAAGUGAGCCUUAAGAGAGAGAGAGGCUUUGUGCUGGCUAUUGACUAGGGUAAGGAUCACCCGAGGGGCCUUGGCUCCGUUCUGAUGUCAGUGGGAGUUGAGGCCCUCAACACCUUAUACCACCAGGCCUGACUGCCCAGGGAAAACAUGAGAUUAAGUCUACAUUGAAUUAAUUCGUUGCUAAAUCCUGAGAAGAAAAAUACAUUAACUCAGCUGGAAAGUCAUUUGUUUUAGUGUCAGUUUCAUUUGGUCUCUAAAAUAAUGAGCAAAUUAGACUUGAUCCCUGGGAUUCAUUAACGAACAACUGAGGCUGGCUGAAUGUCUGAGAUAAAUAGGAGGUACAAAUGUUCCCAAAGUAAACUUAAAAACAAGUAAACAAGCCUAGAACCUAUGUAUAAACUGGGAGCUAAACAUAAAUGGUUUCACAGAGCCUGAAGCAGUGAGCAUUUUUAAUUGUGCAGUACAAUGGAGGAACAGAGAGAUGAUUAAAUGAAAUAAAUAUUUUAUGUUCAUUCCCUUACUCAGAGUAACUGAGCAAUAUAGAACAUUCUUGCAGAAAAAAAAAGUUUUGCAUUCAUGCCUCAAAACUGCAACUAACUAGUUCCCCAGUCGAAUACGCUGAAUCUCGCUGCUAGCUGAGUGAAACCGCAGGAUAAAUUAUUUGUGAGUUAUUAUGCAGGUGCGCACCUGUGUAUAUAAAUAUAUAUAAAAAUAUGUACAUACACACAAAUAUUUAGAUAUUGAUGCAUUCAGCCAUAUAGCAUGUAAACACUGAAGUUUGUGAACAAGUUAUAAAUAAAUUUCCAUCUGCUGGUAAAGAGGACUUGUUAUUUCUAUGAAUCAAAUGAUAUUAUCCAGCUAAGAUUUAGAGCAUUUACAAGAAAAAAAAACUCCUAACAUAGUUUCCAAUCCCCAGGAAAUUUAGAAAAUAGUUGCUUUCUGCUAAGGAAGUAAUUCUUAAAUGUAAAAGAAGCAAAUGUUACUUUUCACCGUGCAUACUGGACUAAUGGAGAAAGAUUUAUGUUUUUGUGGAUGCUGAUAAAUUAUAUCACCAGACUUUUUUUUUUAAGA